AAUGAAAAUAGUUUAAAUUAGAAAUUCGGUUAGCUAGUUGUUAUCUAGGAGAAUUUUGAUAAGCGAGUCAGUUCGCUAAUCAACGGGCAUUAGCGAAGAGGUUCCCUACUAGGGCUCGGCCCCGCGUCCAAUGGGUAGGUUUUUGGAAAAAUGGGUAUGUGUUCUCGGCUAAAAAAUUUGAUGCGUUGGGUAACGGUUCUUGAGACUUUGUGCCUACUACCUACCCGGGUUAAACGUGGGUAAUACAAUUUCAAAACUGGUUCCAUUACCCGGUUUCAAAACCCGGUUAGCUCCGAUUUCCUACCUGAUUACUCUGUUUUUUGCCCGAUUUCCCGAAGGGAUUAAGGGUGAGGCAGUUUGGGUUGGAGGGGAAAGUGGAAACGAAUGAAAUUCGCCUGCUAAGCUCAAUAGAUGGAGAUUGGGUUAUCUUACGGUACAAAGAACUGAUUCUGGAAAGAAUAAUAUAGAUUAAUAACUAUGAAUAAAAAUAUUUUGAAUACGUCUUCAUGUUAUUCGCAUGACAUAUUUCCUAAGAGGAGUUAAAUAUUAAAAUGAUAUAAGAAAUAAACGGCAGCUACUAUUUCAGCGUUGUUUUGUUACAAAGCAGACGACAGCGUAAAUAAAAAAGUUAUUAUUACAUAUGUUCCUUGUUGGUUUUGGUUAUUUGUUAUUGAUUUGUUAAAAAUAAUAUAAUUAGUUAAAAACAAAACAGUGUAAUGCCGCGUCGAAGUGGUUUGAAUAGAAAUAAUUCAGUGAAAUUAAAGCAACAAAAUACAAUAGACCUCCUGCACUGUGCGGAUAGCAGGAUUCUUGUAGUCCGACAACGCUGUCGGCAGCCAUCUUAAGAAAACUCCACCCUUUUAGUGCACAGGCUCUUAUGGAAGUAUUUUUCAAAGUGAUUUUUGUCUUAACUGGAUUACAAUUUCGACCAAAGAAAAAUAAUGAAAAAUACUACAUAAUUCAGAUUGUCAUGUGCGAGGAGGAAUUUGUGGAAAAUGCUGUAAUCCAAUUAUUCGACCUCUCCAACCUUGUUAUUGGUCUGUUACAAUACAUAGCAAAUUCUUUCUUCA